AAGACGAACGCUGGCGGCGUGCUUACCACAUGCAAGUCGAACGAAAGGCCUGCAGCUUGCUGCGGGUACUCGAGUGGCGAACGGGUGAGUAACACGUGGGUGAUCUGCCUUGCACUUCGGGAUAAGCUUGGGAAACUGGGUCUAAUACCGGAUAGGACAGCUGUUUAGUGUCAGUUGUGGAAAGUUUUUUCGGUGCAAGAUGAGCUCGCGGCCUAUCAGCUUGUUGGUGGGGUAAUGGCCUACCAAGGCGUCGACGGGUAGCCGGCCUGAGAGGGUGUACGGCCACAUUGGGACUGAGAUACGGCCCAGACUCCUACGGGAGGCAGCAGUGGGGAAUAUUGCACAAUGGGCGGAAGCCUGAUGCAGCGACGCCGCGUGGGGGAUGAAGGCCUUCGGGUUGUAAACUCCUUUCGACAGGGACGAAGCGUAAGUGACGGUACCUGUAUAAGAAGCACCGGCUAACUACGUGCCAGCAGCCGCGGUAAUACGUAGGGUGCGAGCGUUGUCCGGAAUUACUGGGCGUAAAGAGCUCGUAGGUGGUUUGUCGCGUCGUCUGUGAAAUUCCGGGGCUUAACUCCGGGCGUGCAGGCGAUACGGGCUGACUUGAGUGCUGUAGGGGAGACUGGAAUUCCUGGUGUAGCGGUGAAAUGCGCAGAUAUCAGGAGGAACACCGAUGGCGAAGGCAGGUCUCUGGGCAGUAACUGACGCUGAGGAGCGAAAGCAUGGGUAGCGAACAGGAUUAGAUACCCUGGUAGUCCAUGCCGUAAACGGUGGGCGCUAGGUGUAGGGGGCUUCCACGUCUUCUGUGCCGUAGCUAACGCAUUAAGCGCCCCGCCUGGGGAGUACGGCCGCAAGGCUA
rnacentral:rRNA from 1 species